rnacentral:lncRNA from 1 species
AUGUGGAAAGCAAGUUCUAGGCAAAAUCCUUGACAGUCUGUCAAAAUGACAAAGAACCAAAGAUCCUCGGCACAGAAAGAACAUCUUUAGUCUUUUGCUGAGAGUGGUGCCUGAAGUUCUUUCAUGAAUGGGUGAUUCCAUUCCUUGGUUUUGGUGAAUAGAGCUGCAAUAAACACGGACAUGCGGGUAUUCACAUGGGGUGAAAGAAAGAGAAAAUAUUGAAUGAUGAAUUCCAGAGAAGCAAAGAACACCCAAAAAGAAUGGUGAUUUUAAAAGCCAUGUUACCUGUAUUGCAAGGAACAUUUAACUAUUCAAAAAUAUCCAGCUACUGGAUAAUAUUGCCUGGCCAUCAG